rnacentral:tRNA from 1 species
GGAGGAUUACCCAAGUCUGGCUGAAGGGAACGGUCUUGAAAACCGUCAGGCGUGUAAAAGCGUGCGUGGGUUCGAAUCCCACAUCCCCU